ACGGGGGGGGCAAGCGUUGUUCGGAAUUACUGGGCGUAAAGGGCGCGUAGGCGGGCGGAUAAGUCUCUCGUGAAAGCCCACGGCUCAACCGUGGAAUUGCGGGAGAUACUAUUCGUCUUGAGUUCGGGAGAGGUGUGUGGAAUUCCCAGUGUAGCGGUGAAAUGCGUAGAUAUUGGGAGGAACACCGGUGGCGAAGGCGACACACUGGACCGAAACUGACGCUGAGGCGCGAAAGCCAGGGGAGCAAACGGG
rnacentral:rRNA from 1 species